rnacentral:rRNA from 1 species
AUUGAACGCUGGCGGCAUGCCUUACACAUGCAAGUCGAACGGCAGCACGGGAGCAAUCCUGGUGGCGAGUGGCGAACGGGUGAGUAAUAUAUCGGAACGUGCCCAGUCGUGGGGGAUAACGCAGCGAAAGCUGUGCUAAUACCGCAUACGAUCUACGGAUGAAAGCGGGGGAUCGCAAGACCUCGCGCGAUUGGAGCGGCCGAUAUCAGAUUAGCUAGUUGGUGAGGUAAAGGCUCACCAAGGCGACGAUCUGUAGCUGGUCUGGGAGGACGACCAGCCACACUGGAACUGAGACACGGUCCAGACUCCUACGGGAGGCAGCAGUGGGGAAUUUUGGACAAUGGGAGCAAGCCUGAUCCAGCAAUGCCGCGUGCAGGAUGAAGGCCUUCGGGUUGUAAACUGCUUUUGUACGGAACGAAACGGUGAGCUCUAAUACAGUUUGCUAAUGACGGUACCGUAAGAAUAAGCACCGGCUAACUACGUGCCAGCAGCCGCCGUAA